AUUGAACGCUGGCGGAAUGCUUUACACAUGCAAGUCGAACGGCAGCACGGACUUCGGUCUGGUGGCGAGUGGCGAACGGGUGAGUAAUGUAUCGGAACGUGCCCAGUCGUGGGGGAUAACGUAGUGAAAAUUACGCUAAUACCGCAUACGAUCUAUGGAUGAAAGCGGGGGAUCGCAAGACCUCGCGCGAUUGGAGCGGCCGAUAUCAGAUUAGGUAGUUGGUGGGGUAAAGGCCCACCAAGCCAACGAUCUGUAGCUGGUCUGAGAGGACGACCAGCAACACUGGAACUGACACACGGUCCAGACUCCUACGGGAGGCCGCAGUGGGGACAUUUGGACACUGGGCGAAAGCCUGAUCCAGCCAUUCCGCGUGCAGGAUGAAGGCCCUCGGGUUGUAAACUGCUUUUGUACAGAACGAAAAGGUUUCUACUAAUACUAGGAGCUCAUGACGGUACUGUAAGAAUAAGCACCGGCUAACUACGUGCCAGCCGCCGCAGUAA
rnacentral:rRNA from 1 species